UACGGAGGGUGCAAGCAUUAAUCGGAAUGAUUGGGCGUAAAGGGCGCGUAGGUGGAUCGGUCAGUCUCGUGUGAAAUACCAUAGCUUAACUGUGGUGCUGCGCGGGAUACUACCGGUCUAGAGGUUUGGCGGAGAAGAUGGAAUUCCACGUGUAGCAGUGAAAUGCGUAGAUAUGUGGAGGAACACCGGUGGCGAAAGCGAUCUUCUAGCUAUUACCUGACACUGAGGCGCGAGAGCUGGGGGAGCAAACAGG
rnacentral:rRNA from 1 species